rnacentral:lncRNA from 1 species
AUGGCCACACACACAAGGUACCAUGUCAACCUUUACACUCCAUAUAAUGAAAAUAUACACCAGCCUCGUCCCUAUCACCAUAUUCCAAUCAAUUAGAAAUACCAUCUAUAUAUAUAUUUGAUUCGGCCACUCACGCACACACUAGCCACACAUACAUGCACAUACCACAUCUAUCCAAGCAAUCACCAAACUAGAACUCGUGGAACACAAUCCAUACUCACACACAUCGGCCCCAAUCGGCCACACAUAAAUAUCAGUAUCAUACAUACAUACAGUCUUGUUUCCCCCAAACUCGCACAUUUAGUGCACACUCACACACAUCGGCCCUCAGUCGGCCACACACACACCUAUUUUUAAUAGCACCAGCAUCGGCGUAUCAAUCUUCCUCUUUAUUGUUGCCAAUAUCAGCGCAUCUCUAAUUCACGGCACCAACAUCAACACCUCAACACUUCAAAACAACAACUCACAUCAUUCCAGUUUCAUGUAGGCACCCUCUCUCACCUACAAUCCCUACCUCACACUCCUUCUAACACUCUCCCUCACCGAACCUAAACCUAAAUAUACCAUUCUCUACACUCCUACUCCAUAAUUGGUCUCUUCCUUUCACUCUACCAUUAAAUAAUCUCUAUUCAUCAUUUUUCACCACUCUGUGCCUUUAGAAUCGUGUAU